ensembl:lncRNA
GGGAGUUUCAGUCUUUUGGGCAUGAGCAGACCAAGCAGUCUUCUUGCUUGACCCUGAAAUGAAUGCUGUACUUUCCUUCACCCCAAAUUUGGCUCCAAGCUAGGUGCUGGCCAUGCUCCUGCACUACUUCUUCCUGAGCGCCUUUGCGUGGAUGCUGGUAGAAGGGUUGCUUCUCUCCAAAGUGGCGAUCAAAGUAUUUGGAUCAAAGGACAGCAAGCACCGCCACUACUAUGGGAUAGGAUGGGGAGCUCAUGGUCAGCAGGAAGGUGGAAUUUAAUCAGCCAAUUCUGGAUCCUACCAGGAAGAAAUAUUACACAGUGCCACGACAGCUGGAGGCGCAUCCCAGGCUGUGUUGUGCUGCAGUAACAAAUAGCCCACAAAAUCCCAGCAGCUUGAAACAACCAAUUUUUUCUUGCUCACACUUCAUGUCUUUCAUGGGAAUUAGG